ACGCAACUCUGGAGAGUGCUUUCAAAGUUAAGUGGAAAGCCACCAAAGGGGAAAGCCAUCUUAUGGUAAACUUUCAGGUGCCAGGACAGAGA
rnacentral:ncRNA from 1 species